rnacentral:rRNA from 1 species
UACGGGAGGCAGCAGUGGGGAAUAUUGCACAAUGGGGGAAACCCUGAUGCAGCGACGCCGCGUGGAGGAAGAAGGUCUUCGGAUUGUAAACUCCUGUUGUUGAGGAAGAUAAUGACGGUACUCAACAAGGAAGUGACGGCUAACUACGUGCCAGCAGCCGCGGUAAAACGUAGGUCACAAGCGUUGUCCGGAAUUACUGGGUGUAAAGGGAGCGCAGGCGGGAAGACAAGUUGGAAGUGAAAUCNAUGGGCUCAACCCAUNAACUGCUUUCAAAACUGUUUUUCUUGAGUAGUGCAGAGGUAGGCGGAAUUCCCGGUGUAGCGGUGGAAUGCGUAGAUAUCGGGAGGAACACCAGUGGCGAAGGCGGCCUACUGGGCACCAACUGACGCUGAGGCUCGAAAGUGUGGGUAGCAAACAGGAUUAGAUACCCUGGUAGUCCACACCGUAAACGAUGAUUACUAGGUGUUGGAGGAUUGACCCCUUCAGUGCCGCAGUUAACACAAUAAGUAAUCCACCUGGGGAGUACGACCGCAAGGUUGAAACUCAAAGGAAUUGACGGA